CUUAUUCUUAUUCUGACUCGUCUUCGCUUUUUUUUUCUCCAUUUUCUCUCUUUCUUAAAAUAUCUUCUCUUUUUUUUCUCUUCUCUUCUAUUCUACCUGUGCUUCUUUAUCAUCAUCAUCAUACAACAGGAACAUCAAGGGCAUCAUCAUCAUCAUCAUCUUCUUCUUCUUCAUGAUCCUCGUCGUUCUGUUGACUGAACAAUUCACAAUCCAACCUGGAAAUUUUCAUCUGUGUCUUUUCGUUACCUUUUCAUGGUUCCCUGAACUGGUAACAACCGGUAGUAAUAGUUGUUGUUAGAAAUGAUCAAGUUCAAGUGCUGGUAGUAAUUUUGGUGAUUCCUAUUGCUUUUGUUGUUGCUUUUAUAACACAACAGGUAGGAUAAAAAAGGCUUCAGAAUUCAUGUUAACAGAAGGAUAACAAAAGUGUGAUUUAUCCUGAGGUUUUCUUUUUCUUGCUUGUUAAUUGCUGAUGGUGUUCAGAUUUUCCCCAUCAUCGUAUUACCUGAACAUUUAAGAGAAACAUUUCCGAUUCAUGGUUAGAUGUUCCUAUUAUGUUCAGUCAUCAAUUUCUUUCUCUCUCUCUCUCUCUCUCUUUCUCUCUCACAAAGGUACAUAUUUAGUAGUAGGAUGAUGUCCAAUUACAGUUACUAAGGAUAGUUCAUGGAUAGAGAGCAUGAUGGUUUCAUUAUGAUAAUUAGACGUUUGUUGUUAUUACUCAAAUCGGCACAUGAAGAGAUUGUUAUGUAAUCUUGUUUAGUUGAAAAGCUUUUCCUUCCUAAGAAUUCAAGGAAUCAAAUCAAUACACUUGAGGAGAAUGUUGGCAAAUCCAUUAUAUUCAAUUUCUCUUGGUUGGUUGAUUGAUUGAUCGUCGAUACAGAUGAACCAGAUUAAUCUUCUUUCUUACAAUACAGUUAAUCACCUAAAGAAAAAAAAAGAUUUACAAUUAAACCUAAUCCAAAAUGGAAGAAGAGACAAAGAAAACAACGAUCAUUCCAAUAGAUUGCAUGAGAGAAAAACCUCCAAAAGGAAAGAGUUAAAAUACAAAAAGAAUACAAAUCAAUUCCAUCUAAUCAACACUGAAAACUAAUCAAUGAAUAUUUGAUAAUCAAAGAAAAACAAUAAUCACAAACCUUUAGAAAUCAAAACAAAUCAAGAAACAAGAAAAAAAUCAAAAGCUCAAAUUAAUUUGAAGAAA